rnacentral:rRNA from 1 species
GUGGGGAAUAUUGGACAAUGGGCGAAAGCCUGAUCCAGCCAUGCCGCGUGUGUGAAGAAGGUCUUCGGAUUGUAAAGCACUUUAAGUUGGGAGGAAGGGCAGUAAGUUAAUACCUUGCUGUUUUGACGUUACCAACAGAAUAAGCACCGGCUAACUUCGUGCAAGCAGCCGCGGUAAUACGAAGGGUGCAAGCGUUAAUCGGAAUUACUGGGCGUAAAGCGCGCGUAGGUGGUUCAGCAAGUUGGAGGUGAAAUCCCCGGGCUCAACCUGGGAACUGCCUCCAAAACUGCAUGACUAGAGUACGGUAGAGGGUAGUGGAAUUUCCUGUGUAGCGGUGAAAUGCGUAGAUAUAGGAAGGAACACCAGUGGCGAAGGCGACUACCUGGACUGAUACUGACACUGAGGUGCGAAAGCGUGGGGAGCAAACAGGAUUAGAAACCCUUGUAGUCC